rfam:Schistosoma haematobium scaffold758_24, whole genome shotgun sequence.
AUCAGCUGACGAGUCCGAAAUAGGACGAAACGUGCAUCUCAGAU